ACCGCCUGGGGAGUACGGCCGCAAGGUUAAAACUCAAAUGAAUUGACGGGGGCCCGCACAAGCGGUGGAGCAUGUGGUUUAAUUCGAUGCAACGCGAAGAACCUUACCUGGUCUUGACAUCCACGGAAGUUUUCAGAGAUGAGAAUGUGCCUUCGGGAACCGUGAGACAGGUGCUGCAUGGCUGUCGUCAGCUCGUGUUGUGAAAUGUUGGGUUAAGUCCCGCAACGAGCGCAACCCUUAUCCUUUGUUGCCAGCGGUCCGGCCGGGAACUCAAAGGAGACUGCCAGUGAUAAACUGGAGGAAGGUGGGGAUGACGUCAAGUCAUCAUGGCCCUUACGACCAGGGCUACACACGUGCUACAAUGGCGCAUACAAAGAGAAGCGACCUCGCGAGAGCAAGCGGACCUCAUAAAGUGCGUCGUAGUCCGGAUUGGAGUCUGCAACUCGACUCCAUGAAGUCGGAAUCGCUAGUAAUCGUGGAUCAGAAUGCCACGGUGAAUACGUUCCCGGGCCUUGUACACACCGCCCGUCACACCAUGGGAGUGGGUUGCAAAAGAAGUAGGUAGCUUAACCUUCGGGAGGGCGCUUACCACUUUGUGAUUCAUGACUGGGGUGAAGUCGUAACAAGGUAACCGUAGGGGAACC
rnacentral:rRNA from 1 species